GAAAGUAGUUAAGGGCGCACGGCGGAUGCCUUGGCUCCCGGAGGCGACGAAGGACGCGGCAAGCUGCGAAAAGCCGCGGGGAGGCGCAUGCAGCCUUUGAUCCGCGGAUUUCCGAAUGGGACAACCCGUCAUCCUGAAGGGGUGACAUCCCGCUUUUGCGGGAGGCCAACGCGGGGAACUGAAACAUCUUAGUACCCGCAGGAAAAGAAAACAACAGUGAUUCCCCCAGUAGCGGCGAGCGAACGGGGAGAAGCCCAAACCGCAUGCGUUUCGGCGCCUGCGGGGUUGUAGGACCGCGAGGUCGGUUCUGGAAGGCGAGCGGAACGCGCUGGAACGCGCGGCCGGAGCGGGUGAAAGCCCCUUACGCGCAGCCUUCCCGGACUGUAGCGGCAUCCUGAGUAGGGCGGGACACGUGCAAUCCCGUCUGAAUCUGCCGGGCCCAUCCGGCAAGGCUGAAUACUCCCGGGAGACCGAUAGCGAACCAGUACCGUGAGGGAAAGGUGAAAAGCACUCCGAACAGGAGGUUGAAAUAGAACCUGAAACCGUGCGCCUACAAGCGGUCGGAGCCUUCUAUUGAAGGUGACGGCGUGCCUUUUGCAUAAUGAACCUGCGAGUUUCCGUCGCCGGCGAGGUUAAGGGGGACGACCCCCGGAGCCGCAGCGAAGGCGAGUCUGAACAGGGCGUUCAGUCGGCGGCGGAAGACGCGAAACCGAGUGAUCUACCCUUGUCCAGGAUGAAGUCCGGGUAACGCCGGAUGGAGGUCCGAACCGAUAGGCGUUGAAAAGCCUCCGGAUGAGGUGAGGGUAGGAGUGAAAGGCCAAUCAAACUCGGAGAUAGCUCGUACUCCCCGAAAUGCAUUUAGGUGCAGCCCCGGGCGUUCGCGGCGCGAGGUAGAGCGACUGAUAGGAUGCGGGGGCUUCGCCGCCUGCCAAGUCCUGACAAACUCCGAAUGCGCGCCGCCCACAGCCCGGGAGUGAGGGCGCGGGUGCUAAGGUCCGCGCCCGAGAGGAGAAGAAUCCUGACCGCCGUCCAAGGCCCCGAAGUGGAGGCUCAGUUAGUUUAACGGGGUCCGGCCGCAGAGACAGCUAGGACGUUGGCUUGGAAGCAGCCAUUCGUUUGAAGAGUGCGUAACAGCUCACUAGUCGAGGGGCCGGGCAUGGAUAAUAAUCGGGUAUAAGCCUCCCGCCGAAGACGCGGGACCUUAAGGUCGGUAGGGGAGCAUUCCGUGCGCGGCGAAUCCGGGGCGCGAGCUCCGGUGGAGCGCACGGAAAAGCAAAUGCAGGUAUAAGUAACGAUAAGGGGGGCGGGAACCCCCCCCGCCGCAAGACCAAGGUUUCCUGAUCCACGCUAAUCGGAUCAGGGUAAGUCGGGCCCUAAGGCUAAGCGUACGGCGAGGCCGAUGGCAGAGACGGUCAAGAUUCCGUCACUGCCCGCAGGGGCGACGCGGGGACGCGGGAGUGGCACCGCCGCCGUCCGACGGAAUGGACGGUUUAAGGGUGUAGGAGCUGAGGAGUCCAGGAAAGUCCGGGCUCCGAUCCGAACCUGAAAGUACGGGGAUCCCUUCGGGGCUCCCCGAUAGCGCGGGUAACCAGGCCGCCGAGAAAAUCCGCUAAGCUCCACCCUGCGGGCACCCGUACCGAAACGGACACACGUGGUCGGGUAGAACAUACUGAGGCGCUCGGGUGAAUCACGGUCAAGGAACUAGGCAAACUGACCCUGUAACUUCGGGAUAAAGGGUCCCUCCUCGCAAGAGAGGGCGCAGAGAAUAGGUCCAGGCAACUGUUUAACAAAAACACAGGGCUGUGCCAAUACGAAAGUAGCCGUAUACAGCCUGACACCUGCCCGGUGCCGGAAGGUUAAGGGGAGAGGUCAUCCUUUCUGGAGAAGCCUUGAACUGAAGCCCCGGUAAACGGCGGCCGUAACUAUAACGGUCCUAAGGUAGCGAAAUUCCUUGUCGGGUAAGUUCCGACCUGCACGAAUGGUGUAAUGAUCCGGACGCUGUCUCAACCAUGAGCUCAGUGAAAUUGUAGUAUCGGUGAAGAUGCCGAUUACCCGCGAUGGGACGAAAAGACCCCGUGAACCUUUACUACAGCUUAGCAUUGACCUUGGUCAUCCGAUGUGUAGGAUAGGCCGGAGGCUUCGAAGCGGGAGCGCCAGCUUUCGUGGAGCCAUCCUUGAAAUACGGCCCUUUGGCUGUCUGAGGUC
rnacentral:rRNA from 1 species